CGGGUGAGUAACACGUGGAUAACCUACCUAUAAGACUGGGAUAACUUCGGGAGACCGGAGCUAAUACCGGAUAAUAUAUUGAACCGCAUGGUUCAAUAGUGAAAGACGGUUUUGCUGUCACUUAUAGAUGGAUCCGCGCCGCAUUAGCUAGUUGGUAAGGUAACGGCUUACCAAGGCAACGAUGCGUAGCCGACCUGAGAGGGUGAUCGGCCACACUGGAACUGAGACACGGUCCAGACUCCUACGGGAGCAGCAGAG
rnacentral:rRNA from 1 species